AUACGGAGGGUGCGAGCGUUAAUCGGAAUUACUGGGCGUAAAGCGUACGUAGGCGGUUGGUUAAGUUAGAUGUGAAAGCCCCGGGCUUAACCUGGGAACUGCAUUUAAAACUGGCGAACUCGAGUUGAGUAGAGGGGAGUGGAAUUUCAGGUGUAGCGGUGAAAUGCGUAGAGAUCUGAAGGAACACCAGUGGCGAAGGCGACUCCCUGGACUCGAACUGACGCUGAGGUACGAAAGCGUGGGUAGCAAACAGGAUUAGAAACCCCAGUAGUCC
rnacentral:rRNA from 1 species